CAGAUACCAACCCCCCAAGUCUGUGUGAGGCUAUCAAAGACUUCCGUAGGGUUGUGUCUGGCUAACCUACCAUCGGAAAGAUUUGGUGGCAGAGGAGAGCGCCAGAGAGUUCCAAGGCAACCAUCCUGCAUCUGUAAACACAGACAAGCCUACAGCUGCCGGCACACAACUAAAGUACCCUCCUGCCCAACACAGGAGAUUACCGCUCCUUGUAACCAGUCAAGCCUCUCCUUAAAGAGGGCUUUAGUGCCCAAUUAUGUCUCCAUAGAAACCUGAGAAGCAUGAGCAAGUUCAUCAGCAUAUCUCCCACCUCCCCUCCCCUCCCCGCGCACGGUGCUGAGCAGACCUGUGCAGGACCAACCUGUGUGGAAAAUGACAGUGUUUUUCCUGAGCCCCGAAGGAAGCCGGAGGUUUCGAAGCAGUCCUUUGGCGGUUAGGCGGACGUGGAUGGUGGAUAAGGAGAAUUUGGGAGACAACAGCAUGUCUUCGAAGCCAGUGGGAGAACUUCGCAGGGGAAGCAGCUUUUCCAGGGACCAUCACAUACUGUGUCUCUUGGCAACUCGGGGUUCUUCCAGGCCAAGAGAUACAGCCAGAGAAAAACAAGCUUACAUGCUAAUGCCAGGCCACCCAGAUUGGGGGGUGCGUGGGGGGGGGUAGCUAGAGUUAGCUAUCCCAGAGCUCCAGGCUUCCGUUUGCUCUCCCAGAUGUUGCAAACAAACAAUGCCCUUCGUCUGAGCAAGAUCUGUGAGGAGCAGCUCAGGAAGCAAGCAGCCUGAAUUACAUCACACUGUGCAUGCCGUUCCCGACACGGAUGGAAAGGGGAGGAGAAAGUGGGUGGUCUCGGGAGCUUUAUGUAACAGCCAAUGAUGUCGCAGGUCCUGUCACUAUUUGGAACGG
ensembl:antisense Gm16192 predicted gene 16192